ACGUAUCUCUGGCGCGUGCCGGUGAGCCCUGCCGCGGCGUAAUUGCAGCUGGCUGGCUCCCGGUGCCGUCCAACCUUUACAAACCCACUGUGCACAUUUGCGGCGGAGGGCGUCCGGGCGCGAGCUCGGGCGUCCGAUGCCGAUCACAAACACGAGUUCAAUAGAAUGCCUAGCGGCCUCCGCGCCGUCUAAAACACAUAA
rnacentral:misc_RNA from 1 species